rnacentral:rRNA from 1 species
AGCCACCGCUAUUGGAAUCCGAUUAAGACAUGUGAGUCGAGAGUCUUCGGGACUCGGCAGACGGCUCAGUAACACGCGGAUAAUCUGCCCUUAGGUGGGGAAUAAUCUCGGGAAACUGAGCAUAAUACCCCAUAGGCCUGAGAUGCUGGAACGCCCUCAGGCUAAAAGCUCCGGCGCCUAAGGAUGAGUCUGCGGCCUAUCAGCUAGUAGUUGGUGUAAAUGACCAACUAGGCGACGACGGGUACGGGCAUUGGGAGAUGUAGCCCGGAGAUGGACUCUGAGACACGAGUCCAGGCCCUACGGGGCGCAGCAGUCGCGAAAACUUCACAAUGUGGGAAACCGCGAUGAGGGGAUUCCAAGUGCUUGCGUUUUGCGUAAGCUGUUCUUCUGCCUAAAAAGCAGGGGAAGUAAGGGCUGGGUAAGACGGGUGCCAGCCGCCGCGGUAAUACCCGCAGCCCGAGUGGUGGUCGAUAUUAUUGAGCUUAAAGCGUCCGUAGCCUGUCUGGUAAAUUCUUGGGUAAAUCGUGCAGCUUAACUGUUCGAAUUCCGGGGAGACUGCCAGACUUGGGACCGGGAGAGGUUGGAGGUACUCCUGGGGUAGGGGUAAAAUCCCGUAAUCCUGGGAGGACCACCAGUGGCGAAGGCGUCCAACUGGAACGGAUCCGACGGUCAGGGACGAAGCCCUGGGUCGCGAACUGGAUUAGAUACCCAGGUAGUCCAGGGUGUAAACGCUGCAGACUUGGUGUCGGAGGUCCUACGAGGGCGUCCGGUGCCGGAGAGAAAUUGUUAAGUCUGCCGCUUGGGGAGUACGUCCGCAAGGAUGAAACUUAAAGGAAUUGGCGGGAG